UACAGAGACUGCGAGCGUUAUUCGGAUUCACUGGGCGUAAAGGGUGCGCAGGCGGCCGAGUGUGUGAGGCGUGAAAGCCCGGGGCUUAACCCCGGAAUUGCACCUCAAACUACACGGCUAGAGCAUUGGAGAGGGUGGCAGAAUUCAUGGUGUAGCAGUGAAAUGCGUAGAUAUCAUGAGGAAUACCAGAGGCGAAGGCGGCUACCUGGACAAUUGCUGACGCUCAGGCACGAAAGCGUGGGGAGCAGAAGGG
rnacentral:rRNA from 1 species